rnacentral:pre_miRNA from 1 species
CAAUUACUCCCUCCGUCCGGAAAUACUUGUCUUAGAAAUGGUUGUAUCUAGACUUAUUUUAGUUAUAGAUACAUUCAUUUUCAACCAUUUUUAGGACAAGUAUUUUCGGACGGAGGGAGUAUUUG